CAGCCGCGGUAAUACGUAGGUGGCAAGCGUUGUCCGGAUUUAUUGGGCGUAAAGCGCGCGCAGGCGGUCUUUUAAGUCUGAUGUGAAAGCCCCCGGCUUAACCGGGGAGGGUCAUUGGAAACUGGAAGACUGGAGUGCAGAAGAGGAGGUGGAAUUCCACGUGUAGCGGUGAAAUGCGUAGAUAUGUGGAGGAACACCAGUGGCGAAGGCGACUCUCUGGUCUGUAACUGACGCUGAGGC
rnacentral:rRNA from 1 species